rnacentral:rRNA from 1 species
UACGUAUGGUGCAAGCGUUAUCCGGAUUUACUGGGUGUAAAGGGAGCGUAGACGGUUGUGUAAGUCUGAAGUGAAAGCCCGGGGCUCAACCCCGGGACUGCUUUGGAAACUAUGCGGCUAGAGUGUCGGAGAGGUAAGUGGAAUUCCCAGUGUAGCGGUGAAAUGCGUAGAUAUUGGGAGGAACACCAGUGGCGAAGGCGGCUUACUGGACGAUGACUGACGUUGAGGCUCGAAAGCGUGGGGAGCAAACAGG